rnacentral:rRNA from 1 species
CCUACGGGGCGCAGCAGUGGGGAAUAUUGGACAAUGGGCGAAAGCCUGAUCCAGCCAUGCCGCGUGUGUGAAGAAGGCCUUCGGGUUGUAAAGCACUUUCAGUGGGGAAGAAAGCCUUGGGGCUAAUACCCUCGAGGAAGGACAUCACCCACAGAAGAAGCACCGGCUAACUCCGUGCCAGCAGCCGCGGUAAUACGGAGGGGGCGAGCGUUAAUCGGAAUUACUGGGCGUAAAGCGCGCGUAGGCGGUCUGAUAAGCCGGUUGUGAAAGCCCCGGGCUCAACCUGGGAACGGCAUCCGGAACUGUCAGGCUAGAGUGCAGGAGAGGAAGGUAGAAUUCCCGGUGUAGCGGUGAAAUGCGUAGAGAUCGGGAGGAAUACCAGUGGCGAAGGCGGCCUUCUGGACUGACACUGACGCUGAGGUGCGAAAGCGUGGGUAGCAAACAGGAUUAGAUACCCCAGUAGUC